CAAUAGCGUAUAUUAAAGUUGUUGCAGUUAAAAAGCUCGUAGUUGGAUUUCUGGUAGGAGCGACCGUGCCGAACUUGAUUGUUCGAGUAUUGUGUUGUCUUCAGCCAUCCUCGUGGAGAACUUUUCUAACAUUAACGUGUUGGGAUUGGGACCCGCGUCGUUUACUGUGAAAAAAUUAGAGUGUUUAAAGCAGGCAUUAGCUUGAAUACAUUAGCAUGGAAUAAUAAGAUAGGACUUUGGUACUAUUUUGUUGGUUUGCAUACCAAAUUAAUGAUCAACAGGAACAGUUUGAGGAUAUUCGUAUGAACAUGUCAGAGGUGAAAUUCUUGGAUUUUGAUCAGACGAACUACUGCGAAAGCAUUUAUCAAGGAUGUUUUCAUUAA
rnacentral:rRNA from 1 species